rnacentral:tRNA from 1 species
CUCUGGCUAGCUCAGCCGAUAGAGCAUGAGACCCUUAAUUUCAAGGUCGUGGGUUCGUGCCCCAUGUUAGGCG